rnacentral:rRNA from 1 species
AUUGAACGCUGGCGGCAGGCCUAACACAUGCAAGUCGAGCGAGUGGCGGACGGGUGAGUAAUGUCUGGGGAACUGCCCGAUGGAGGGGGAUAACUACUGGAAACGGUAGCUAAUACCGCAUACUAUCGGAUGUGCCCAGAUGGGAUUAGCUAGUAGGUGGGGUAACGGCUCACCUAGGCGACGAUCCCUAGCUGGUCUGAGAGGAUGACCAGCCACACUGGAACUGAGACACGGUCCAGACUCCUACGGGAGGCAGCAGUGGGGAAUAUUGCACAAUGGGCGCAAGCCUGAUGCAGCCAUGCCGCGUGUAUGAAGAAGGCCUUCGGGUUGUAAAGUACUUUCAGCGGGGAGGCGUUACCCGCAGAAGAAGCACCGGCUAACUCCGUGCCAGCAGCCGCGGUAAUAC